rnacentral:rRNA from 1 species
AGUUUGAUCAUGGCUCAGGACGAACGCUGGCGGCAGGCUUAACACAUGCAAGUCGCACGAGAACGUUUUGGCUUUGCCAAGACAAGUACAGUGGCGGACGGGUGAGUAGCGCGUAGAUAACCUGCCUUCAGGCGCGGGACAACCUCGGGAAACCGUGGCUAAUACCGCACGCCGUCUAGCUCCCGCAUGGGGGCUAGAUGAAAGCCUUAUGGUGCCUGAAGAUGGGUCUGCGUCGGAUUAGCUUGUUGGUGAGGUAACGGCUCACCAAGGUAACGAUCCGUAGCUGGUCUGAGAGGAUGAUCAGCCACACUGGGACUGAGACACGGCCCAGACUCCUACGGGAGGCAGCAGUGGGGAAUCUUGCACAAUGGGGGAAACCCUGAUGCAGCCAUGCCGCGUGGAGGAAGACACCCCUAUGGGGCGUAAACUCCUUUUCUGCGCGAAGAAACCCUCGUUUUUCGGGGUGUGACGGUACCGCAGGAAUAAGGACCGGCUAACUCCGUGCCAGCAGCCGCGGUAAUACGGAGGGUCCAAGCGUUGUCCGGAAUCACUGGGCGUAAAGGGUGUGCAGGUGGGGCAGCAAGUCAGAGGUGAAAGCCCGCGGCUUAACCGCGGAAGUGCCUUUGAAACUGCUGCUCUUGAGUCCCGGAGAGGUUGUCGGAAUUCGUGGUGUAGCGGUGAAAUGCGUAGAUAUCACGAGGAACACCAGAGGCGAAAGCGGGCAACUGGACGGGUACUGACACUGAGGCACGAAAGCGUGGGGA